UUCCAGUUAGUAUAUUGGCUAGUAUCUCCGCCUGUCACGCGGAAGAGCCGGGUUCGAUUCCCGGACUGGAAG